rnacentral:rRNA from 1 species
CAGCGGGGUGAGUAACACGUGGGUGAUCUGCCUUGCACUUCGGGAUAAGCCUGGGAAACUGGGUCUAAUACCGGAUAUGACCACUGAUCGCAUGGUUGGUGGUGGAAAGAUUUAUCGGUGCGAGAUGGGCCCGCGGCCUAUCAGCUUGUUGGUGAGGUAACGGCUCACCAAGGCGACGACGGGUAGCCGACCUGAGAGGGUGACCGGCCACACUGGGACUGAGACACGGCCCAGACUCCUACGGGAGGCAGCAGUGGGGAAUAUUGCACAAUGGGCGCAAGCCUGAUGCAGCGACGCCGCGUGCGGGAUGACGGCCUUCGGGUUGUAAACCGCUUUUGACAGGGACGAAGCGCAAGUGACUGUACCUGUAGAAUAAGGACCGGCCAACUACGUGCCAGCAGCCGCGGUAAUACGUAGGGUCCGAGCGUUGUCCGGAAUUACUGGGCGUAAAGAGCUUGUAGGCGGUUCGUCGCGUCGUUUGUGAAAACUUGGGGCUCAACCUUAAGCUUGCAGGCGAUACGGGCGGACUAGAGUACUUCAGGGGAGACUGGAAUUCCUGGUGUAGCGGUGAAAUGCGCAGAUAUCAGGAGGAACACCGGUGGCGAAGGCGGGUCUCUGGGAAGUAACUGACGCUGAGAAGCGAAAGCAUGGGUAGCAAACAGGAUUAGAUACCCUGGUAGUCCAUGCCGUAAACGGUGGGUACUAGGUGUGGGGCUCCUUCCACGGACUCCGUGCCGUAGCUACGCAUUAAGUACCCCGCCUGGGGAGUACGGCCGCAAGGCUAAAACUCAAAGAAAUUGACGGGGGCCCGCACAAGCGGCGGACAGUGGAUUAAUUCGAUGCAACGCAACCUUACCUGGGUUUGACAUACACCGGAAACCUGCAGAGAUGUAGGCCCCCUUGUGGUCGGUGUACGGUGGUGCAUGGUGUCGUCAGCUCGUGUCGUGAGAGUGGGUUAAGUCCCCAACGAGCGCACCCUUCUGUGCGCGCGUAAUGGCGGGGUCUGAAACUGGGCAUCAGGGAUUCAUGCCCUCGGUUUGCUAGCAGUGCAC